AACAGCCGCGGUAAUUCCAGCUCCAAUAGCGUAUAUUAAAGUUGUUGCAGUUAAAAAGCUCGUAGUUGAAUUUCGGGAUCAGUUGGUCGGUCGUGCCUCGGUACGUACUGGUCAAAUUGAUUCCUACCUUCUGACGAACCACGAUGUCAUUAAUUUGGUGUCGCGGGAAAUCAGGACUGUUACUUUGAAAAAAUUAGAGUGUUUAAAGCAGGCUCGCGCUUGAAUACAUUAGCAUGGAAUAAUGAAAUAGGACGUUUGAUUCUAUUUUGUUGGUUUCUAGGAUCGACGUAAUGAUUAAUAGGGAUAGUUGGGGGCAUUAGUAUUCAAUUGUCAGAGGUGAAAUUCUUGGAUUUAUUGAAGACUAACUACUGCGAAAGCAUUUGCCAAGGAUGUUUUCAUUAAUCAAGAACGAAAGUUAGGGGAUCGAAGACGAUCAGAUACCGUCGUAGUCUUA
rnacentral:rRNA from 1 species